GAAACGGAACACAGCCCAUUACCUCAACAACACUAGAGCGUGAAAGCACGUCUCUGCUGCUGAGAAUCAGAAGAUGACGAGUUGAUCCAGCAUUCUUUUGACCGAGGUGAUGCAGAGACAGAGCUCGGCUCGACCAGGACGACGUCUCGGCCAAACCCCCGCCGUGUCUCCCGAGCCCGCCCACAGCCGAUCAAUAUGACUGGAGCUGGAGAAACAGAUCAUGCUGAUCCUCGUGAUGUUUAUGCUCAAGCUCCAUGCGUUCCCGCUGCUCUGCAUGUUGGCCGGUUGCGGAGGCUCUGUGGUUUGGCGCAACUCUGUCAGCGAGGUCAACAGGCACUUGUACCCUGUCAUUAUUCAGUGAUUGAAAGACAUACAGUGAAAGAAAAGACUGAUUGAAUGAAAAAAACCCACUGUGGAAUGAAACGCCCUGGAUAAAUAAAGGGAUAGAGUUUGGAGGAGAGUCAACAUCAACCUGUAGGUGUGAGAGGGGGAGAACAAAGCUUGCCAAAGACCUGUUUUCAUGGAGACUCGCUUGGGCAAGCCGCCGGGUGAGAAUUCAUGCCUGCCUUUAACUCAGCAAGACAAGUGCAAGCUCACACCUGUUUAUCCUUUUCUUUUUUGGUCUGCUUUAGUGUGAGGUUAAGACACAACGUGUUAAAUAGUUUCAAUUCUAGUCAUUAUCAGUGUCUGUGAUGGCAUUUGAAUGUAGCCCGAUGACUUCAGGGUGGAUGUG